rnacentral:rRNA from 1 species
GUGGGGAAUCUUAGACAAUGGGCGCAAGCCUGAUCUAGCCAUGCCGCGUGAGCGAUGAAGGCCUUAGGGUUGUAAAGCUCUUUCGUGGGGGAAGAUAAUGACUGUACCCCAAGAAGAAGCCCCGGCUAACUCCGUGCCAGCAGCCGCGGUAAUACGGAGGGGGCUAGCGUUGUUCGGAAUUACUGGGCGUAAAGCGCACGUAGGCGGACUGGAAAGUCAGGGGUGAAAUCCCGGGGCUCAACCUCGGAACUGCCUUCAAAACUCCCAGUCUUGAGUUCGAGAGAGGUGAGUGGAAUUCCGAGUGUAGAGGUGAAAUUCGUAGAUAUUCGGAGGAACACCAGUGGCGAAGGCGGCUCACUGGCUCGAUACUGACGCUGAGGUGCGAAAGCGUGGGGAGCAAACAGGAUUAGAAACCCGUGUAGUCC